rnacentral:lncRNA from 1 species
CUGGUGUUGCUGCAUCAAGACAAACUGACUCUCCAGCUGCUCCAGCAUAAGUUUCUGUGCUGGAUUUAAAUUAUUUCGGUUUGCACGUAGCUGUUCCAAGUGCUGUAAUUUCUGUGGUGUCAAGCACCAAGAAUGAAUUUGUUGUUGUACAGGAGGAUGUGACACUGUAUGGCCACUGCUCCAAACAUCUGAAGUAUUCUUUGUUGGACUAGAUGUUCUUUUCCUCUUGGCAGGACUGGUCAGGUCAUCUACUUGGCUAGAAGGAAUCAUGUGUAGUGGCAAGGAUUGCUGUGAAAUUGGUGUUUGAGUGAGGCCUAGUACAGGUUCAGUAUUUGGAUGAUGAGGUUUACAAGCCUAAGAAUCACAGAAGACAAAAAUAUGGUUCUAUAUAUUCUUAAUUCUUUCCUUUAAACUACAUAUUUUAACAGCC